rnacentral:rRNA from 1 species
AUUGAACGCUGGCGGCAGGCCUAACACAUGCAAGUCGAACGAGUGGCGGACGGGUGAGUAAUGUCUGGGAAACUGCCCGAUGGAGGGGGAUAACUACUGGAAACGGUAGCUAAUACCGCAUACCAUCGGAUGUGCCCAGAUGGGAUUAGCUGGUAGGUGAGGUAACGGCCCACCUAGGCGACGAUCCCUAGCUGGUCUGAGAGGAUGACCAGCAACACUAGAACUGAGACACGGUCGAGACGACUACGGGAGGCAGCGGUGGGGAAGAUUGCACAAUGGGCGGAAAGCUAAUGCAGCAAUGCCGCGUGUAUGAAGAGGGCGUUCGGGUUGUAAAGUACUGUCAGCGGGGAGGCGUUAGCCGAAGAAGAAGCACCGGCUAAAUCCGAGCCAGAAGCCGCGGUAAUUC